GAUGAACGCUGGCGGCGUGCCUAAUACAUGCAAGUCGAGCGAACAGACGAGGAGCUUGCUCCUCUGACGUUAGCGGCGGACGGGGGAGUAACACGUGGAUAACCUACCUAUAAGACUGGGAUAACUUCGGGAAACCGGAGCUAAUACCGGAUAAUAUAUUGAACCGCAUGGUUCAAUAGUGAAAGACGGUUUUGCUGUCACUUAUAGAUGGAUCCGCGCCGCAUUAGCUAGUUGGUAAGGUAACGGCUUACCAAGGCGACGAUGCGUAGCCGACCUGAGAGGGUGAUCGGUCACACUAGAACUGAGACACGGUCCAGACUCCUACGGGAGGCAGCAGUAGGGAAUCUUCCGCAAUGGGCGAAAGCCUGACGGAGCAACGCCGCGUGAGUGAUGAAGGUCUUCGGAUCGUAAAACUCUGUUAUUAGGGAAGAACAAAUGUGUAAGUAACUAUGCACGUCUUGACGGUACCUAAUCAGAAAGCCACGGCUAACUACGUG
rnacentral:rRNA from 1 species